rnacentral:rRNA from 1 species
GGUUAAGCGACUAAGCGUACACGGUGGAUGCCCUGGCAGUCAGAGGCGAUGAAGGACGUGCUAAUCUGCGAUAAGCGUCGGUAAGGUGAUAUGAACCGUUAUAACCGGCGAUUUCCGAAUGGGGAAACCCAGUGUGUUUCGACACACUAUCAUUAACUGAAUCCAUAGGUUAAUGAGGCGAACCGGGGGAACUGAAACAUCUAAGUACCCCGAGGAAAAGAAAUCAACCGAGAUUCCCCCAGUAGCGGCGAGCGAACGGGGAGGAGCCCAGAGCCUGAAUCAGUGUGUGUGUUAGUGGAAGCGUCUGGAAAGGCGCGCGAUACAGGGUGACAGCCCCGUACACAAAAAUGCACAUACUGUGAGCUCGAUGAGUAGGGCGGGACACGUGGUAUCCUGUCUGAAUAUGGGGGGACCAUCCUCCAAGGCUAAAUACUCCUGACUGACCGAUAGUGAACCAGUACCGUGAGGGAAAGGCGAAAAGAACCCCGGCGAGGGGAGUGAAAAAGAACCUGAAACCGUGUACGUACAAGCAGUGGGAGCACGCUUAGGCGUGUGACUGCGUACCUUUUGUAUAAUGGGUCAGCGACUUAUAUUCUGUAGCAAGGUUAACCGAAUAGGGGAGCCGAAGGGAAACCGAGUCUUAACUGGGCGUUAAGUUGCAGGGUAUAGACCCGAAACCCGGUGAUCUAGCCAUGGGCAGGUUGAAGGUUGGGUAACACUAACUGGAGGACCGAACCGACUAAUGUUGAAAAAUUAGCGGAUGACUUGUGGCUGGGGGUGAAAGGCCAAUCAAACCGGGAGAUAGCUGGUUCUCCCCGAAAGCUAUUUAGGUAGCGCCUCGUGAAUUCAUCUCCGGGGGUAGAGCACUGUUUCGGCAAGGGGGUCAUCCCGACUUACCAACCCGAUGCAAACUGCGAAUACCGGAGAAUGUUAUCACGGGAGACACACGGCGGGUGCUAACGUCCGUCGUGAAGAGGGAAACAACCCAGACCGCCAGCUAAGGUCCCAAAGUCAUGGUUAAGUGGGAAACGAUGUGGGAAGGCCCAGACAGCCAGGAUGUUGGCUUAGAAGCAGCCAUCAUUUAAAGAAAGCGUAAUAGCUCACUGGUCGAGUCGGCCUGCGCGGAAGAUGUAACGGGGCUAAACCAUGCACCGAAGCUGCGGCAGCGACGCUGAUGCGUUGUUGGGUAGGGGAGCGUUCUGUAAGCCUGCGAAGGUGUGCUGUGAGGCAUGCUGGAGGUAUCAGAAGUGCGAAUGCUGACAUAAGUAACGAUAAAGCGGGUGAAAAGCCCGCUCGCCGGAAGACCAAGGGUUCCUGUCCAACGUUAAUCGGGGCAGGGUGAGUCGACCCCUAAGGCGAGGCCGAAAGGCGUAGUCGAUGGGAAACAGGUUAAUAUUCCUGUACUUGGUGUUACUGCGAAGGGGGGACGGAGAAGGCUAUGUUGGCCGGGCGACGGUUGUCCCGGUUUAAGCGUGUAGGCUGGUUUUCCAGGCAAAUCCGGAAAAUCAAGGCUGAGGCGUGAUGACGAGGCACUACGGUGCUGAAGCAACAAAUGCCCUGCUUCCAGGAAAAGCCUCUAAGCAUCAGGUAACAUCAAAUCGUACCCCAAACCGACACAGGUGGUCAGGUAGAGAAUACCAAGGCGCUUGAGAGAACUCGGGUGAAGGAACUAGGCAAAAUGGUGCCGUAACUUCGGGAGAAGGCACGCUGAUAUGUAGGUGAAGUCCCUCGCGGAUGGAGCUGAAAUCAGUCGAAGAUACCAGCUGGCUGCAACUGUUUAUUAAAAACACAGCACUGUGCAAACACGAAAGUGGACGUAUACGGUGUGACGCCUGCCCGGUGCCGGAAGGUUAAUUGAUGGGGUUAGCGCAAGCGAAGCUCUUGAUCGAAGCCCCGGUAAACGGCGGCCGUAACUAUAACGGUCCUAAGGUAGCGAAAUUCCUUGUCGGGUAAGUUCCGACCUGCACGAAUGGCGUAAUGAUGGCCAGGCUGUCUCCACCCGAGACUCAGUGAAAUUGAACUCGCUGUGAAGAUGCAGUGUACCCGCGGCAAGACGGAAAGACCCCGUGAACCUUUACUAUAGCUUGACACUGAACAUUGAGCCUUGAUGUGUAGGAUAGGUGGGAGGCUUUGAAGUGUGGACGCCAGUCUGCAUGGAGCCGACCUUGAAAUACCACCCUUUAAUGUUUGAUGUUCUAACGUUGACCCGUAAUCCGGGUUGCGGACAGUGUCUGGUGGGUAGUUUGACUGGGGCGGUCUCCUCCUAAAGAGUAACGGAGGAGCACGAAGGUUGGCUAAUCCUGGUCGGACAUCAGGAGGUUAGUGCAAUGGCAUAAGCCAGCUUGACUGCGAGCGUGACGGCGCGAGCAGGUGCGAAAGCAGGUCAUAGUGAUCCGGUGGUUCUGAAUGGAAGGGCCAUCGCUCAACGGAUAAAAGGUACUCCGGGGAUAACAGGCUGAUACCGCCCAAGAGUUCAUAUCGACGGCGGUGUUUGGCACCUCGAUGUCGGCUCAUCACAUCCUGGGGCUGAAGUAGGUCCCAAGGGUAUGGCUGUUCGCCAUUUAAAGUGGUACGCGAGCUGGGUUUAGAACGUCGUGAGACAGUUCGGUCCCUAUCUGCCGUGGGCGCUGGAGAACUGAGGGGGGCUGCUCCUAGUACGAGAGGACCGGAGUGGACGCAUCACUGGUGUUCGGGUUGUCAUGCCAAUGGCACUGCCCGGUAGCUAAAUGCGGAAGAGAUAAGUGCUGAAAGCAUCUAAGCACGAAACUUGCCCCGAGAUGAGUUCUCCCUGACUCCUUGAGAGUCCUGAAGGAACGUUGAAGACGACGACGUUGAUAGGCCGGGUGUGUAAGCGCAGCGAUGCGUUGAGCUAACCGGUACUAAUGAACCGUGAGGCUUAACCUU